rnacentral:rRNA from 1 species
GACGAACGCUGGCGGCGUGCUUAACACAUGCAAGUCGAACGGAAAGGCCCUGCUUUGGUGGGGUGCUCGAGGGGCGAACGGGUGAGUAACACGUGAGUAACCUGUCCUUGACUGUGGGAUAACUUCAGGAAACUGGGUCUAAUACCGGAUAGGAGCUCCUGCUGCAUGGUGGGGGUUGGAAAGUUUCGGCGGUUGGGGAUGGACUCGCGGCUUAUCAGCUUGUUGGUUGGGUAGUGGAUUACCAAGGCUUUGACGGGUAGCAGGCCUGAGAGGGUGACCGGACACGUUGGGACUGAGAUACGGCCCAGACUCCUACGGGAGGCAGCAGUGGGGAAUAUUGCACAAUGGGCGGAAGCCUGAUGCAGCAACGCCGCGUGCGGGAUGACGGCCUUCGGGUUGUAAACCGCUUUCGCCUGUGACGAAGCGUGAGUGACGGUAAUGGGUAAAGAAGCACCGGCUAACUACGUG